GCCACCGGCGACCGCAUCCCCUGGCUCGGCAGCACGUGACCAGGAUCCCCCAUCUCCCAGCAAACCUCGCUGGUGCACGCCACCUCCCUCCUCCUAAGGUGCUCCCCGUCCGAUCCACUCCACUGGUGUCCACGCCCCGACGCCACCGGUUUGGAGCGGUGUGAACUUCGAACAGAUCAGUGGUUGGUAGUUAACUGCACCAACGCGACUGACGCCACCUCGCACGCGUUUGUCUUCGUCGACGGCGAUCAGCACCUCCAACGCAAAUCGAUUCAGCGCCGUCUAUGCACGGCUCGGCUCCUGCGCUUUGUUGCCGCCACGGGACGCAGUGCACCUCCCGUCCUCUGCUUUUCUCCGUGGGAAACUGUCUGCCUCGUGUCGCCGCUUGCCCCUGCUACUGCUGGGAAUAACCUAUCCUGCAACGCCCUGUACUCAAGCUGUACCCAUGCUCUCUUUGGUCUCAUGCACCAUCCCUACGGCAGCGAAGCUUCCCUUGGACCGGCCGCCAUGCAUCAAACUGAACUGCUGAGUUCAUUCCCCCAAAGUCCUACUGAGCGUACAGUAAAGAAGCGUACCCCGAACUCCUCCAUUACUUAACAAUAUGGUGUGCUUUCUGAUGGAACUGACUCGCAGUAAACUAGGCAAAAAGUCUCAUGUUUACGUGGAGACAAAAUAGUGUCCUUAAUCACCCUAUGUGUGUAGCAAUCGCUAGCUUCAAAACAGAGGCGUGUGCGUGUUCGUGCAUGUAAUUUAAGAAGAUGCAACCAGCGAGAUAGUGGACAAAAGGAGAAGUGAUUUAAGCUGGGCCAUAGGUGAGAAGAGAUAAGUUGGGCCCAAAAAAAGUUGAUUUACGGCCAUGUUGGCCAAUAUGAUUUUAGAUUUAGAAAGUAUACAUGGUGAAAAAUAAAUCAGCGGACAAUAGUUA